GUGCCCAGCCCGCUGCGGUAAUACGGAGGUGCAAGCGUUAAUCGGAAUUACUGGGCGUAAAGCGCACGCAGGCGGUCUGUCAAGUCGGAUGUGAAAUCCCCGGGCUCAACCCGGGACUGCAUUCGAAACUGGCAGGCUUGAGUCUCGUAGAGGGUUAGAAUUCCAGGUGUAGCGGUGAAAUGCGUAGAGAUCUGGAGGAAUACCGGUGGCGAAGGCGGCCCCCUGGACGAAGACUGACGCUCAGGUGCGAAAGCGUGGGAGCAAACAGGAUUAGAUACCCUGGUAGUCCACGCCGUAAACGAUGUCGAUUUGGAGGUUGUGCCCUUGAGGCGUGGCUUCCGGAGCUAACGCGUUAAAUCGACCGCCUGGGGAGUACGGCCGCAAGGUUAAAACUCAAAUGAAUUGACGGGGGCCCGCACAAGCGGUGGAGCAUGUGGUUUAAUUCGAUGCAACGCGAAGAACCUUACCUGGUCUUGACAUCCACAGACUUAGCAGAGAUGCUUUGGUG
rnacentral:rRNA from 1 species